rnacentral:misc_RNA from 1 species
GGAUUUUGCUCACUACAAAUCAGGCGUCUACAAACAUGUAACCGGUGAUGUUAUGGGAGGCCAUGCUGUGAAGUUGAUCGGUUGGGGGACCAGUGAGGAUGGUGAUGAUUAUUGGCUUCUUGCAAAUCAGUGGAAUAAAGGCUGGGGUGAUGAUGGUUUCUUCAAGAUAAGACGAGGAACGAAUGAAUGUGGGAUUGAAGAGGACCCUGUUGCGGGAUUGCCUUCGACCAGGAAUAUGAUCCGAAACUAUGCUGGCAUGGAGGCAACUGGUGAUGCAGCAUUAUAAUUUCAAUUAAUCCUAUAUGAAAUUACUUGUAUUUGUGUUAUGAAGAUCUCAAGCAAGGAACUUUAUCCCCGAUUAUGUAUUAAUACCUUGUUGCCUCUGGAAGAACUCUUAGUGAUGUAUAUAUAAGCAUUUGUGAAGUUGAUU